GUCUCUGUCAAUUCUAGAAUUUUGAAAGUUGCUUACAAUGCACUUCCUGUUUACUUAGGACUGGUGGGACAGAAGCCUCCGCCAACACACACAGAUGCCCACAUGUGUACAUGAGUAUGGAGGCCAGGGGUCAGCAUCAGGUGUUUUCCUUGAUGACUUCCCACCUUACAUUUUGAGACAAGGUCUCUCCCUGAGGCACGCUGAUUGGCUAGUCUGGAUGGAUCGGGAGCUCUGGGGACCCACCUGUCGCUAUUGCAGCCCCUGCUCCAUUACUUGACUUCUUGACCUGUGCUGCCGUUCUCAGCUUUCUGUGUAGGUGCUGGGUAUCUGAACUCCCAUCCUCACACUUACACUGGCAGGUGUGUUAUCACUGUCUUCCUGGCCCCAGGAAUUUAACUGUUUAUGUGUCAAGUUUCUCAUCUGUAAAUUAGGUCUUGAGUCUGCUACCAAAUGUCUAUGGAUCUUGUGAAUCUCAAGGACAUAGCAUCUUUGAGAGUGCUUUGGGAAUGGAAAAUAAAUCUUCAGUAAAACAGCUUAGCAACGGAGGACGAGAAGUGCAUUGAGUUUCUCUGCAUCUAAGUUGGGGUGUGUGAGAGAAGACUGCCUAGGAGAGAACAGGCCGCAUGGCUGCUUCUUGUUUAUGACAGCAGACAUAUCUAGCUUUCAUAAGCAAUUAUAUACUGAUUGCCCACGUUCACUAGUUACUGGUACUUUGAGGUAGCUAAUUCGAUCCUUUUAAUAAGUCUAUAAAAGUUAUGGUGCUGGCUUUCCAAAUGAAGAAGCUGCGCAGGAGAAUGGCUAAGCAGCUGGACCCGUGCCAUGCACUGAAGGAGUGACCGGCCAGGAUCUGACCGUCCUGUCCAUUCGCCCUCAAGGCAAUGGAGACAGAAGAGCAGGAGGUGAUUCAGUAAAAUAGUGACCACCCAGGUUGGAGCGGCUCAUAAGACAAGGAAACCUUCAUCCAGGAGCUUGUAAUCUCUCUUUCUUUUGCCUCGUCAUCCUUGUAAUCCACGUACAUUCACAGAGAGCCUCUCGUGUAACAGGAGCUAUGCUCGAUGUACAAUAAAGCAAUAGAUAAAGCCGAGUCCCCAGAGGGCUCAGGAAAUAACUGGACGGCAGAGUGCCUUGUCAGACAUCUCGUUUAUCCUCAGCUCAAUCCUGUUAGGAAAAUUGCUCCUAUUGCCUGGCCGCUAUUAAGGUUUUAAACAUUAUUGUUCUGCAGAAACGAUCUGCUUACACAGCUUCCUGCCUGAGAAUGGCACAGGUCCAUAAUAGCCAAAGAUCGUCUACCCAAUGAUUUCAUUUCAUUGCAACCACACAGCGGCUCUGAAAUGGCAAUAAUUGCCAAUUGCUCUUGUUGUCUGACUACCGCUAUGGAGACAGAGGGGCUUUAAGCGGCCAUUCAGUAAGAGUGCAGACGAACUAAUUUUUAUUUUUCUCCGAAUGACUCUCAAAGUGAACAUCAAAUUCAGAGCUCAUAAAGGUCUGAAAGACCUUCUGUGAUAAAAUCUACAUCUUUAACGACAAAGAGAGAUGGGGCUAUGGAACAAUUCCGAAAGCCAAAGGUGGGACCAUUCCCGGGACAGAAGAUCCCGGACUGUAUGAAGUGGAAAAGGCAUUAGGAACACUAACAUGCCCUCAUUCGUGGCUCUCUUUCCCCUGAAAAUGGAUGCAAUGUUACCAGCUUCUUCCAGCAUUUACUACAACUUGCUCACCAUAAAGAUUGAGACUUCUGCCACGUGCUCCUGCCGUGAUGGUCUGCUACCCCUUAGGCCAAGGAGCAACAAGGCUAAUCUGUCAUGGACUGGGACAUCCAAAACUAUGAACCAAGACAAACCUUCUCUCUUUAAUGAACGACAAAAGCAGGGGCUAAAUUAUCUAUGACCAAAGAGGAACAAAUGUGAGAUGGAUGGAGGGCAGCCUGGAGUCAGAUACUCUUCAACCGAGGAAAUCAAAACUCUUGUUUUGUAUGUUGUGCCAUGAGCAACCAGUGUUCAGCUCUGGGGAACCAGAACCUCGCAAACCACAUCAUGACCAAGCAAGCUAUUUGAUUAAUCAAGUUAUUUUCUGCUCAAAAAGCAUUCCAAAGGUAGACCUAGCUAGGAUGGCAGCCUAUGGAUGGCACUGAGAUCCAAAGAGUUUGACUUCUCCUUGGCUCUUCUUCCUGUGUCUUUCACUCUCUUCAAUGUGAUAUGAAUGUAGCAUCAACAACAUUAGCACUCAAGGUUUAAAAUGGGAUAGGAGAAGAAGGAAUGGGAAAUGUAUGUGUCAGGAAAGCAGAAGCUUUGCCAGAAACUCCUAGCAGAAUUCAGAAAAACUCAUGGACCAGAAUUACUUGUGUACAAUUCUGGAACCAAGAAGGCUUGGAUUUCGGUUGGAUACAUUGGCCCACUAGACAAAGCUGGGGAAGAGUUAAGUGGACAUUGUGGAUCCAGGUAAUCAGCAAUGUCUUCAAGGACUCAUUAAAUUUCCUGGUGAACAUCCCAAUAGCAAGUCAUGCGAGGUUAGAAAGCCAGGCAUCAAGUUUGGAGGAAGAGUAGAAGUAAGACAAGAGCUUGGCUGUGUCUACAUCACUGCCACAGAACACCUCGCAAGAACAGUGUAAAGAAGUGUGGUGGCUCAUCUUCACUGUCAACUCGACAGGAUUCAGAAUUGUCAUGGAAACAAAUCUCUGGGCAUAGAUAGCAAGGAGUAGGCUAACUGAGGUGAGAAGACCCACACUAACUGUAGGCAGCACAGAUCCACAGGUGGAGGUCCUGGACUGGAUAAAGAGGAGCGGACAAGCCAAGCAUGAGCGUGUGCCACUCUCUGCUUCCUGACUGUGACUGUCAUUUCCCCUUGACCUCCGGCUCCUGUCGCUGUGCCGUUUCCACCGCCAUAGACUGUACCUUCCAAUUCUGGCCCCAAAUAAACCCUUGCUUUCUUAAGUUGCUUUUACAGUGACAAGAACCACAUUAACCAAUUAACCCAGCCUAGGAACUCCUUUACACACAUACCAAGUGGUAUGUCUUCCAGGUCAUUCUAGAUCAUGUCAGGUAGACUAUAUUAACCAUCAUAGGAAAUUAUUAACAUGUAGCUACAUUAAAAUCCAAGAGAAAAUAUGAUGUAAAUUAGGGAGAUAGUACAGUUUGAAACUUGUCAAACUUUUGGAUUUAUUACUGUGACUUGCCUCAAUUAAUUUUAUUACCUCAAUAAAAUUUUAAUAUAUACUUUUCCUAUGUCAGAAACUGUUUUGAACUCUCAAGGCUCUCAAAGAUGUCUCUUUUUUUCCAAGAGGCUUAAAGAUAAAAAGAAAGCAGAUAAGUUU